AUUGAACGCUGGCGGCAGGCCUAACACAUGCAAGUCGAGCGGAUGAAGGGAGCUUGCUCCUGGAUUCAGCGGCGGACGGGUGAGUGAUGCCUAGGAAUCUGCCUGGUAGUGGGGGAUAACGUCCGUUAACGGGCGCUAAUACCGCAUACGUCCUGAGGGAGAAAGUGGGGGAUCUUCUGACCUCACGCUAUCAGAUGAGCCUAGGUCGGAUUAGCUAGUUGGUGGGGUAAAGGCCUACCAAGGCGACGAUCCGUAACUGGUCUGAGAGGAUGAUCAGUCACACUGGAACUGAGACACGGUCCAGACUCCUACGGGAGGCAGCAGUGGGGAAUAUUGGACAAUGGGCGAAAGCCUGAUCCAGCCAUGCCGCGUGUGUGAAGAAGGUCUUCGGAUUGUAAAGCACUUUAAGUUGGGAGGAAGGGAAGUAAGUUAAUACCUUGCUGUUUUGACGUUACCAACAGAAUAAGCACCGGCUAACUUCGUG
rnacentral:rRNA from 1 species